rnacentral:rRNA from 1 species
GACGAACGCUGGCGGCGUGCUUAACACAUGCAAGUCGAACGGAAAGGCCCUGCUUUUGUGGGGUGCUCGAGUGGCGAACGGGUGAGUAACACGUGAGUAACCUGCCCUUGACUUUGUGAUAACUUCAGGAAACUGGGGCUAAUACCGGAUAGGAGCUCCUGCUGCAUGGUGGGGGUUGGAAAGUUUCGGCGGUUGGGGAUGGACUCGCGGCUUAUCAGCUUGUUGGUGGGGUAGUGGCUUACCAAGGCUUUGACGGGUAGCCGGCCUGAGAGGGUGACCGGCCACAUUGGGACUGAGAUACGGCCCAGACUGCUACGGGAGGCAGCAGUGGGGAAUAUUGCACAAUGGGCGGAAGCCUGAUGCAGCAACGCCGCGUGCGGGAUGACGGCCUUCGGGUUGUAAACCGCUUUCGCCUGUGACGAAGCGUGAGUGACGGUAAUGGGUAAAGAAGCACCGGCUAACUACGUG